GAUGAACGCUAGCUACAGGCCUAACACAUGCAAGUCGAGCGACCGGCGCACGGGUGAGUAACACGUAACCAACCUGCCCUUUACUCGGGGAUAGCCUUUCGAAAGAAAGAUUAAUACCCGAAAUAAUGGAUGGGGUUGCCUUCCUUUAGGUUGUUGGUGAUGUAACGGCCCACCAAGCCUUCGAUGGUUAGAGGUUCUGCGAGGAAGGUCCACUGCACUUGAGCUGAGGCACAGACCAAACUCGUACGGGAGGCAGCAGUGAGGAAUAUUGGUCGAUGGGCGUUAGCCUGAACCAGCCAAGUAGCGUGAAGGAUGAAGGCUUAUGGGACGUAAACUUCUUUUAUAUAAGAAUAUGUAUUAUAUGAAUAAGGAUCGGCUAACUCCGUGCCAGCCGCCGCGGUAAUUC
rnacentral:rRNA from 1 species